AUGUAUUGCAAAAUACAUCAUUUAUUCGUAAUAUGUAUACUAUUGAUCAAAUCGUGUUUUGUAGGUCUUGAUGCUCAAAUAUGCGAGAAAGCGAGUAAAACGAGUUAAAAUGUUGAAGUGUCAAGGCUUGAAGCAUGUUGGAAAGGUUGAAGAGUUGAAAUAGAGUUUAAAAGCUGAAAAGUCACUUUCUGGCACCCCAUCACCCACUGAGCAAGUUUCUGGCACCUGGCGAGAGUCUGAAGUUAGUAAAUGAGCUGAAAAACAAGGUGGCACCCCACCACCUUGUCCCUGAGUUUCUGGCGGCCAGCCAGAACGUCCUGAUUGGUAAUUAUUACGAAUUUAGUAAAGGGUUAUUUUGGAAAGUCAUAUAAAAACAUCCAAAACGUGUGGAAAAUGGACUUCUUGGGCGAUUUUUGAGCAUUCUUGGAGUUUUUUCGAAGAUCUUGAAGCCUAGGAAUCAUCGGUACGAGUUCGGGGAAGAAGACUUGAAGAUCUAAUCGGGUUUUCUAGUUCUUGAUUCGUGACUUUUUCUUACGAAACUUGUUACAAUGAAUUCCUUGUUAAACAUCUUUGAUUUGUUUUCGUUUAUGAACAUGCUUGGCUAAACUUAUAAACCGCCUAGACUUGAUGAAUGGAUUGAUAUAAAGAUUUUACCGGUUUAUGUUAUUUGCAUGAUUGUUAUGGAUUACUUGUGUUUAGUAAGCGGUUUGAUUUAAUGAUUUGAUCUGUAUGCAUGCUUUGAGUUGGUUUAUUGUUAUUAUUUACUUCGUAUGAUUCUUAGUGACGGUCUAUAUCACAACAUAGAGUCAUAUUAGGGUUUAGGAUUUCGGUGAGUGUCUAUAUCACGUUAGAAAACCUUAACUCUUUAGGGUGAAAUUGCGCAAUAACCCCUAGAAGUAAUUGGUAAUAAUUUGCUGAGUCUUAGUGUUCUACUAGUCCUAAUACCUGGAAAGUGAGGGGCUAUUGGUAGGUCUUACCCGGCGAUUUGCUUUAGAUAGGCCUUGGGAAAGGUUAUGUCUUGGUUUACCUGUCGGUCUUAUUAGUCUAUUAAGUCAAAUUAAUUAAUUGAAACUACCCUAGACCUAGGAUUGGAAAAGAAUAGGUCAACAUUAGGGUACUUACACAAUAAUUAGACAACUGGAAAGGCGUCUAAUAACCGGUAGAAUUAACGGCCUAGGUAGUGCCACAGGUUUCUCCUUGAGAAGGGUCGAGGGGCCUCGUUGGUUCUUAAUAGGUUUAGUACUUUACGAUCCCGGUUCCAUAACUCGUGCAUUUAACUUAAUCGGUAAUCUCUUAAAAACAAUCCAGGAUUCUUGUCUAGGUGGUCUCGUUCUCGCAUAAAGAAAAGUCCUCAGUCUUAUUUCGUAUUAGUUAAUUUUAGUUUAAUUUAGUAGUUUAAUAUAGAUUUCCUAGUUUUCCGUAACCCCCCCCCCAAAACAAUUAAAACAAGUCUUAGUCGUGUCUGUCAGCGUCUGUCAGAGUCUAGUUUGCGUGAUACAUAGAGUCCUGUGGUUCGAUACUCGGACUUGCUUAGACUGUACUACAUUGACCGGUACACUUGCCGGUUGUGUGGUUUAGGUUUAGAGAGUCUGUUUUAUAAAUUUAAAGCUUUGUAGUGUCUAGUUUAGAGAGUCUAACUUAGUUAAUUUUAUAGUCUGUUUAGCACACAUCAAGUUUUUGGCGCCGUUGCCGGGGACUCUUGGCAAUCGCGUUCAUUAGCUUUAAUAGAUUUCAGUGACAAAUACGUGCUACGUGUUUUAUUUUGUUUUGUGUCUUUUGUUUUCAUCUUGAGUCGUAGUAACUUCUGUCUGCUUUUCUUGUGUUCAGGUUUUUGCUUGUAGUGGAUGCCAGAUCUGCGCUCGCACGGACCACCACCACCAAUCAAGCAGUCAUCAUCUCAGUUGGGCCAAGGCCCUCAGGUUGCUUCUUCAUCCUUUUCUCGUAUUCCCAACUUUGAUUCCACCCCAUUACCCACCCCGCCUCCCACACCACCACCUUCGCCAAACCGUUCACCUAAAACUUCACCCAAGGUUUCCCCACCCAAUAGUCCUACUUCUAGUACCUCUAGUAAUUCAGAAAACUUAGAACCAAUGGCCAACCCUAGGCAAACCGUCCAUCAGCAAGCCACCCAAAAUUUCACCGGCCUCGCCUCACCCAUCACCGUUCCACCCAUAGUUAAUGAAAAUUCAUGGCAAAUUCCAUCUUAUGCCAUGCAGGCCAUCACCAAUAGUAUCCAAUUCCAUGGCCGAGAUGAUGAGGAUGCUCCGGCCCACAUUAACCGUUUCUCUAGGAUGCUAGCUACCUUUAGCCUUAGCGGUGCACCCAAUGAUGCCACCUACUUACAGCUU
rnacentral:lncRNA from 1 species